rnacentral:rRNA from 1 species
UACCCUGGUAGUCCACGCCCCUAAACGAUGUCUACUAGUUGUCGGGUUUUAAUUAACUUGGUAACGCAGCUAACGCGUGAAGUAGACCGCCUGGGGAGUACGGUCGCAAGAUUAAAACUCAAAGGAAUUGACGGGGACCCGCACAAGCGGUGGAUGAUGUGGAUUAAUUCGAUGCAACGCGAAAAACCUUACCUACCCUUGACAUGGAAGGAAUCCUCGAGAGAUUGAGGAGUGCCCGAAAGGGAACCUUCACACAGGUGCUGCAUGGCUGUCGUCAGCUCGUGUCGUGAGAUGUUGGGUUAAGUCCCGCAACGAGCGCAACCCUUGUCAUUAGUUGCUACGCAAGAGCACUCUAAUGAGACUGCCGGUGACAAACCGGAGGAAGGUGGGGAUGACGUCAAGUCCUCAUGGCCCUUAUGGGUAGGGCUUCACACGUCAUACAAUGGUACAUACAGAGGGCCGCCAACCCGCGAGGGGGAGCUAAUCCCAGAAAGUGUAUCGUAGUCCGGAUUGUAGUCUGCAACUCGACUACAUGAAGUUGGAAUCGCUAGUAAUCGCGGAUCAGCAUGUCGCGGUGAAUACGUUCCCGGGUCUUGUACACACCGCCCGUCACACCAUGGGAGCGGGUUUUACCAGAAGUAGGUAGCUUAACCGCAAGGAGGGCGCUUACCACGGUAGAUUCGU